CCUCCUUUUCCUCCUUUUUUCAUAUUUCGCAAUGGGCGAAAGCCUGACGCAGCGACGCCGCGUGGGUGAUGAAGGCCUUCGGGUUGUAAAGCCCUGUCGGGUGGAACGAACGAUCUGGCGGCGAAUAACCGCCGGGUGUGACGGUACCACCGAAGGAAGCCCCGGCUAACUACGUGCCAGCAGCCGCGGUAAGACGUAGGGGGCGAGCGUUGUUCGGAUUUACUGGGCGUAAAGCGCGCGUAGGGGGCGUGAAAUCCCUCGGCUUAACCGAGGUCCCGCAUCCGAUACUGUCUGGCUCGAGUCUAGGAGAGGAAAGCGGAAUUCCCAGUGUAGCGGUGAAAUGCGUAGAUAUUGGGAGGAACACCGGUGGCGAAGGCGGCUUUCCGGACUAGUACUGACGCUGAGGCGCGAAAGCUAGGGGAGCGAACGGGAUUAGAUACCCCUGUAGUC
rnacentral:rRNA from 1 species